rnacentral:rRNA from 1 species
AAAUAGAGAGUUCGAUUAUGGCUCAGAUUGAACGCUGGCGGGAUGCUUUACACACAUGCAAGUCGAACGGCAGCACGGGACUUUCGGUCUGGGUGGCGAGUGGCGAACGGGUGAGUAAUGUAUCAUGGAACGUACUAGUAGCGGGGAUAAUCGAUACGCGAAAGCGUAGCUAAUACCGCACACACCUUCGGGGGAAAGCGGGGAUCUCUUGGCCUCGCACUAUUAGAGCUGUGGCCGAUAUCGGAUUAGCUAGUUGGUGGGGUAACGGCUCACCAAGGCGAUGAUCCGUAGCUGGUUUGAGAGGACGACCAGCCACACUGGACUGAGACACGGCCCAGACUAUACGGGAGGCAGCAGUGGGAAUUUUGACAAUGGGGAAACUCCUGAUCCAGCCAUCCCGCGUGUGCGAUGAAGGCCUUCGCUGUAAAGCACUUUGGCAGGAAAGAAACGGCAUCGAUAAUACCCUGUGCAACUGACGGUACCUGCAGAAUAAGCACCGGCCAUGGGCAUGCCAGCAGCCGCGGUAAUACGUAGGGUGCAAGCGCGUUAAUCGGAAUUACUGGGCGGUAAAGCGUGCGCAGGCGGUUCGGAAAGAAAGACGUAAAUCCGCAGAGCUAAAUUUGGAACUGCAUUUUUAACUACCGAGCUAGGAGGCCAGAGUGGCGUGGAAUUCCGCGUGUAGCAGGAAUGCGCAGAUAUGCGGAGGAACACCGAUGGCGAAGGCAGCCUCCCGGGAUAACACUGACGCUCAUGCACGAGCGUGGGGAGCAAACAGGAUUAGAUACCCUGGUAGUCCACGCUCCUGGAACGAUGUCAAUUCAGCUGUUGGGGCUCUCGGGCCUGGUAGCGCAGCUAACGCGUGGUUGACCGCCUGGGGAGUACGGUCAAAGAUUAAACCAAAGUGAAUUGAUUGACUGCACAAGCGGUGGAUGAUGUGGAUUAAUUCGAUGCAACGAAAACCUUGAUUUUACCCUUGACAUGUCUGAAUCCCGAAGAGAUUUGGGAGCUGCAAGAGAACCGAACACAGGUGCUGCAUGGCUGUCGUCAGCCAGGUCGUGAGAUGUUGGGUUAAGUCCCGCAACGAGCGCAACCCUCGUCAUUAGUUGCUACGAGGCGCACCUUAUCAGAUCGCCGGAGACAAACCGAGGAAGGUGGGAUGACGUCAAGUCCUGGCGGCUCCAAGGGUAGGGCUUCACACAUCGCCGCGACAAUGGUCGGGAGAGGUCGCCAACCCGGCGAGGGAGCCAACCGCAGAAAACCCGAUCGUAGUCCGGAUCGCAGUCUGCACCUGACUGCGGCGCCGGAAUCAUAGUAAUCGCGGAUCAGCAUGUCGCGGUGAAUACGUUCCCGGGUCUUGUACACACCGCCCGUCACCAUGCGGAGUAGGUUUUACCAGAAGUAGUUAGCUCUAACUGUAAGGAGGGCGAUUACCACGGUAGGAUUCAUGACUGUGGUGAAGUCGUAACAAGGUAA